CGGUUGAUCCUGCCGGACCUGACUGCUAUCGGAUUGAUACUAAGCCAUGCGAGUCUUUGUAGCAAUACAAGGCAGACGGCUCAGUAACGCGUAGUCAACCUAACCUAUGGAUGGGAAUAACCUCGGGAAACUGAGAAUAAUGCCCAAUAGAACACUAUACCUGGAAUGGUUUGUGUUCCAAAUGAUUUAUCGCCGUAGGAUGGGACUGCGGCCUAUCAGUUUGUUGGUGAGGUAAUGGCCCACCAAGACUAUUACAGGUACGGGCUCUGAGAGGAGUAGCCCGGAGAUGGGUACUGAGACACGGACCCAGGCCCUGUGGGGCGCAGCAGGCGAGAAAACUUUGCAAUGUGCGAAAGCACGACAAGGUUAAUCCGAGUGAUUUGUGCUAAACGAAUCUUUUGUUAGUCCUAGAAACACUAACGAAUAAGGGGUGGGCAAGUUCUGGUGUCAGCCGCCGCGGUAAAACCAGCACCUCAAGUGGUCAGGAUGAUUAUUGGGCCUAAAGCAUCCGUAGCCGGCUCUGUAAGUUUUCGGUUAAAUCUGUACGCUCAACGUACAGGCUGCCGGGAAUACUGCAGAGCUAGGGAGUGGGAGAGGUAGACGGUACUCGGUAGGAAGGGGUAAAAUCCUUUGAUCUAUUGAUGACCACCUGUGGCGAAGGCGGUCUACCAGAACACGUCCGACGGUGAGGGAUGAAAGCUGGGGGAGCAAACCGGAUUAGAUACCCGGGUAGUCCCAGCUGUAAACUAUGCAAACUCAGUGAUGCAUUGACUUGUGGUCAAUGCAGUGCU
rnacentral:rRNA from 1 species